rnacentral:rRNA from 1 species
UACGUAGGGGGCAAGCGUUGUCCGGAAUCAUUGGGCGUAAAGAGCGUGUAGGCGGUCUGUCGCGUCUGCUGUGAAAAUCCGGGGCUCAACCCCGGACUUGCAGUGGGUACGGGCAGACUAGAGUGUGGUAGGGGAGACUGGAAUUCCUGGUGUAGCGGUGAAAUGCGCAGAUAUCAGGAGGAACACCGAUGGCGAAGGCAGGUCUCUGGGCCGCUACUGACGCUGAGAAGCGAAAGCAUGGGGAGCGAACAGG